rnacentral:rRNA from 1 species
AUGCAAGUCGAACGCAGUAGCAAUACUGAGUGGCAAACGGGUGAGUAUAAUGUGGGAAUCUGCCUUUUGGUUUGGAAUAACACGGGGAAACUUGUGCUAAUACCGAAUAAGCCCUUACGGGGAAAGUUUUAAUGCCGAAAGAUGAGCCCGCACUUGAUUAGCUAGUUGGUAAGGUAAAAGCUUACCAAGGCAACGAUCAAUAGCUGUUCUUAGAGGAAGACCAGCCACAUUGGGACUGAGACACGGCCCAGACUCCUACGGGAGGCAGCAGUGGGGAAUCUUGCACAAUGGGGGAAACCCUGAUGCAGCGAUGCCGCGUGAGUGAAGAAGGCCCUUGGGUUGUAAAACUCUUUCGUCGGGGAAGAAAAUGACUGUACCCGAAUAAGAAGGUCCGGCUAACUUCGUGCCAGCAGCCGCGGUAAUACGAAGGGACCUAGCGUAGUUCGGAAUUACUGGGCUUAAAGAGCUCGUAGGUGGUUAAAAAAGUUGAUGGUGAAAUCCCAAGGCUCAACCUUGGAACUGCCAUCAAAACUUUUUAGCUAGAGUGUGAUAGAGGUAAGUGGAAUUUCUAGUGUAGAGGUGAAAUUCGUAGAUAUUAGAAAGAACACCAAAUGCGAAGGCAACUUACUGGGUCACUACUGACACUGAGGAGCGAAAGCAUGGGUAGCGAAGAGGAUUAGAUACCCUCGUAGUCCAUGCCGUAAACGAUGUGUGCUAGACGUUGGAAAUAUAUUUUUCAGUGUCGCAGCGAAAGCAUUAAGCACACCGCCUGGGGAGUACGACCGCAAGGUUAAAACUCAAAUGAAUUGACGGGGACCCGCACAAGCAGUGGAGCAUGUGGUUUAAUUCGAAGAUACGCGCAGAACCUUACCAACACUUGACAUGUUCGUCGCGAGACUAAGAGAUUAGUUUCUUCAGUUCGGCUGGACGAAACAUAGUGCUGCAUGGCUGUCGUCAGCUC